rnacentral:rRNA from 1 species
AACGAACGCUGGCGGCGCGCUUAACACAUGCAAGCCGAACGAGAAGGCGUAGCAAUACGCUUGUAUAGUGGCGAACGGGUGAGGAAUACGUGGGUGACCUACCCUCGAGUGGGGAAUAACCCGCCGAAAGGCGGGCUAAUGCCGCGUACGCUUCCGUCCUCGCGGGGACGGAAGGAAAGUCAUGCCGUGGGCAUGGCGCUCAAGGAUGGGCUCACGUCCUAUCAGCUUGUUGGAGGGUAACGGCCUACCAAGGCUCCGACGGGUAGCUGGUCUGAGAGGACGAUCAGCCACACUGGCACUGCGACACGGGCCAGACUCCUACGGGAGGCAGCAGUGAGGAAUAUUGCGCAAUGGGCGAAAGCCUGACGCAGCGACGCCGCGUGGGGGAUGAAGGUCUUCGGAUUGUAAACCCC